rnacentral:rRNA from 1 species
UACGUAGGGGGCGAGCGUUCCCCGAAUUUACUGGGCGUAAAGCGCACGUAGGCGGCUUCGUAAGUCUGGUGUGAAAUCUCACGGCUCAACCGGGAGGCUGCACCAGAUACUGCGGAGCUCGAGGACGGGAGAGGAGAUCGGAAUGCACGGUGUAGCGGUGAAAUGCAUUGAUAUCGGGAGGAACACCAGUGGCGAAGGCGGAUCUCUUGCCCGUUGCUGACGCUGAGGUGCGAAAGCUGGGGGAGCGAAAGGG